CUACGGGCGGCAGCAGUGGGGAAUAUUGCGCAAUGGGGGAAACCCUGACGCAGCAACGCCGCGUGUGUGAAGAAGGCCUUAGGGUCGUAAAGCACUGUCAGCAGGAAAGAAAUGGCAAUCGGUCAAUAUCCGUAUGCCUUGACGGUACCUGUUGAGGAAGCACCGGCUAACUCCGUGCCAGCAGCCGCGGUAAUACGGAGGGUGCGAGCGUUGUUCGGAUUUACUGGGCGUAAAGCGCGUGUAGGCGGAUCGGCAAGUCAGAUGUGAAAUCCCCGGGCUUAACCCGGGAACUGCAGUUGAAACUGCUGGUCUUGAGUACGGUAGAGGGAAGUGGAACUCCUAGAGUAGAGGUGAAAUUCGUAGAUACUAGGCGGAACACCAGUGGCGAAGGCGGCUUCCUGGACCGAUACUGACGCUGAGACGCGAAAGCGUGGGGAGCAAACAGGAUUAGAUACCCCGGUAGUC
rnacentral:rRNA from 1 species